GGCCUCGUGGCCCAAUGGCAAGGCGUCUGACUACGAUGGAUAACAAUCAACGAUUGAAUGCCACGAAAUCAGGAGAUUCUGGGUUCGACCCCCAGCGAGGUCA